rnacentral:lncRNA from 1 species
GCGGAGAGUAUAUUCGUCAGUAGAAUGCAACCGUGCUGGUAGUGUUACGCGGUCAUUACUAAUUACGAGGCUCGAUGCUUCGUGGGUUUAAUCACCAGCUACUCGCGUUUUAGAGAGGUUAAAAUUUUGUGGAUUCUGCUACUCAACAACUGGCCUUGGAAGAAUGAUCGACAGGAUUUGAUCGAACGAAUUGGUCUGAUGACGAAAAUCGUUUGAAAAACUUUACAGUUAAUCUAUCACGAUGAAAGCGUUCGUGCGUUGCGUUAAAAGCCGUACAAGCAAACUCUGAGGCUGGAGCGAUUACUCACAAACGCUACUGUCACUACUCGUCGCGUCCUCGUCAACGUUGUAUUCACAAUCAUUUUUUUUAUUCUUCCGCCUUAUUAUGGAGCUCCACAUUUUUCUGCGAGUCGACAUUUUUGUUUCUGUUGCUUCGAGGCACUGUCGUUGGAUUUCAAUAGUGCACUUUGGUAUGACGGCGAGUUUGUUCCAAAAAUUUUAAGGAGGCUGAUGAUCGAGCUCAAUUGUUUGGGGUUCGUAACACUUUUCUCUUCGAAAUUCUCAUUUCGGCAUAACUCAAACCCGCUGAUCGAGCCUGUUUCUUCAAAGGGUUUAAAAACUUUUUUCUAAUAUCAAAACAUUUUUAAGGUUUUUGGUAAGUGAGAGUUGCGAAGAAUGUGCUACGGAUCGACGCAUAAUUGCGGACCAAAGCGAACCGGAUCCAAGUCCUUAAAGGAGAGGAAAAAGAGUUCUCGCGAUUAAGGCGAUACGAGACGAGAAAUCGUGUUUUCCUUAUAUCGCUUCAUUUGCACACAGUAUAUACUCGUCGUUUUACACACUUUCGCGAUAGAGGCACGUCAAGCGCUCACAGGAACGUCGAUCACACGAGCUGCACUUACGGAACAUCUGUAAUGCUUCCGGUACGAGGACUCUGUUAUUAAACCGGUAAAUGUAUUUUCACUCGAGAUCUUGAAUAUGAAAAAUUAAAAAUAAAACAGUUUAAACAAAAAUGGUCCGCGUUUCGAGAUGGGAGAAGUGAAGAGAAUAAACUUGCGACGAGUUUGAUUUCUCGUAACGGAUCGUUU